rnacentral:rRNA from 1 species
UACGGAGGGUGCAAACGUUGCUCGGAAUCAUUGGGCGUAAAGCGCACGUAGGCGGACUGUUAAGUCGGAUGUGAAACUCCCUCAGCUUAACUGAGGAAGUGCACUCGAAACUGGCAGUCUUGAGUAUGGAAGAGGGUCGCGGAAUUCCCGGUGUAGAGGUGAAAUUCGUAGAUAUCGGGAGGAACACCAGUGGCGAAGGCGGCGACCUGGGCCAAUACUGGACGCUG